UAGGGAAUCUUCGGCAAUGGGGGGAACCCUGACCGAGCAACGCCGCGUGAGUGAAGAAGGUUUUCGGAUCGUAAAGCUCUGUUGUUAAGGAAGAACGAGUGUGAGAAUGGAAAGUUCAUACUGUGACGGUACUUAACCAGAAAGGGACGGCUAACUACGUGCCAGCAGCCGCGGUAAUACGUAGGUCCCGAGCGUUGUCCGGAUUUAUUGGGCGUAAAGCGAGCGCAGGCGGUUAGAUAAGUCUGAAGUUAAAGGCAGUGGCUCAACCAUUGUAGGCUUUGGAAACUGUUUAACUUGAGUGCAGAAGGGGAGAGUGGAAUUCCAUGUGUAGCGGUGAAAUGCGUAGAUAUAUGGAGGAACACCGGUGGCGAAAGCGGCUCUCUGGUCUGUAACUGACGCUGAGGCUAGAAAGCGUGGGGAGCGAACAGG
rnacentral:rRNA from 1 species